UAUAUAACAAACUUAAUUAAUAACCCCCUUAGCCGAGUAGUGCUUUCCUCGGUUGUAUGCUUUGGAGACCGAUAAGAAUGUUUGGUUGCUUCUAGGAAGUUGUUGUCAUGGACGUGGAGAAGGCCUGUUUGAGGUGGAUGGAAGAGACUGAACUUACAUCGCUGGUUGCAAUUUUCGAACAACGGAUUUUGGUAGAUGAGGCUGACCAUGGGACAUGGAAGUACAAUGGUAUGGAUUCGUGCUUGGUUAAAGGUAUUGGUAUUGAAAAUUCCAGUACGGUCCGGUUCGUCAUCAAUACAUGAAGGUAAAAACCGGCACGUGUUUGGUACAGAAAACACCAAAGGUUAGUAUCGGGUUGAGUUUGAAAAUCAUAUAGUUCGUGAAAUUCAGUACUGCUACCCGGUACCAUUCGCUCAUCCCUGAUCACGGGAGAAGGGAUGAGCUCGGUGCCAAAUCAGUACUGGUACCGAAAAUAUCAGUUAUAGUACCUGUAUAUGAGGGUAAAAACCGGUAGUGAACCGGUACCAGGAACGCCAAAAGUCGGUAACGAAUUGGUAGUUAGGAUCUUUCGUUUCGGGAAAUUCGGUACCGCUACCCGGUACUAUUUACUCAUCUCUGACCACAGCGGUUCAGUGUCACGCUCGUAGUGAUUUCAAAACACAUGUUGAUUUUCUUUCGGUUCACUUAUCAUGUUUUGUUACCUCAUGUUGAGGUUCUCUUUCACCACCAUCUCUCACUAUCAAAACCAAUGACAAAGAGGUUCAAAACCCAGAUUUUGCUACUUGGGCAAGGGAUGAACAACAAGCGAUUAUUCUACUCAAUGCCUCGUUAACCGAAGAGGCUCUUGCUGUCACGGUCGGUCUCACCUCCGCUCGUGAUAUUUGGGCUGCACUUGAAGCGACGUUUUGCAAUACAUCGGUUGAAAGAAUUCAAAAUUUACAUGAUAAUCUCCGAGCACUUAAGAAUGGAGACAAAUCUGUGGCUGAAUUUGGUUGAGCUUUCAAAGCUAUUUGUGAUCAACUUAGUGUUGUUGGUCAUCAUGUUGAUGCUAUGGAUCAAGUUCAUUGGUUUCUGUGCGGUCUAGGACCCACCUUUGAAAGCUUCUCUACAACCACUCGAUCGGUACGUCCCAUUCCCAGCUUUUCUAAUCUUUUAGCAAGUGCAGAGAGUCACGAGUUGUUCAUAAAAAAACUUGCAUGGAACCCAUGAAUGCCUACUGUUGCUUUUGUGGCAUAGAGUAAUUUUCAAAAGCCCAAAAAUUUUAAUUCCAAUUAUAACCAAAUCGGGCUUCCAUGAACAACUCGGCCCAAUAUAGGCCCAACAGGCCACAUUUCUCUAACAACAGGGGACAAAAUCGUUUUUUGGGCGCCAAAAUAGACCUCCUACAUGCCAACUUUGUCGCAAAUCCGGACACUAUGCUUCACAAUGUUUCCAACUAGCUUCCUUUGCUACAUCUGCCUCUCCAUCUCCGGAUCAACUGGCACAAGCCUUUCAUGCUCAAUGUCACGUAAACUCAAUUCCUGAUUGGACAUCUGACACUGGAGCCACCACUCACAUGCUUCCCAACAACUCUACUCUUCAGAACUCCACUCCAACUCAAGGAUCGCCAAACCAAGCAAACCCUAGCCCGGGGGUGCCGUGAAGACGGUCUAUAUGUUCUUCGCCAAACUCAUGAAGCUUUACUCACUACUUCAUCUUGUCCGGAAGCUUCUUUUUAGUUAUGGCACCCUCGACUUGGACAUGUUCAUUUUGAUAUUAUUUAUACGUUAAAAAACAAUGGUUACUUAUCUUUUACUUCGGUAUUACCUAAACCGGGUCUUUGUUCCCCGUGUGAAAUUGCCAACGCUAAAUGGCAACCUUUUUUGUCUAAUGAAACGUGCAUCUUUGCCUCUCGAAAUAAUACAUUGUGACUUAUGGGGGCCUUCCCAAAUAAAAUCGGUUGAUAAUUUUCUAUAUUA